GUACCAUCUCCCCUAUUAGCGAUGAUCAAAGUGUAGUAUCUGUUCUUUUUAACCCAAUAUCUGAAAUUACAUGCACCGUGGGACCUUUAUAGUAAACUGAUUUUUGUUAGCUGAUGGCAUUCUCGGGGCUCGCUUUCCUCCUGUCUCGAUCGGCCAGGCAUUCCAGAGCCACCGCAAUUACUAGAU
rnacentral:snRNA from 1 species